GCACGGAAAUGCCAUUUCCUGCAUUCUGAGCAACCCAAUUUGCUCCAAAAUGUAUGCUAACUAUACUUGUAUUUGAAAUAAAUGAAGGAAAAAACCAACAAAAUGUAAAAAAAAUAUUAACCAUAAUUUAUCAUUACUUAUUAGAGGAUACCAAUGGUCACGUGCGUAGGGGUGUACUCCCCCAGAAAAAUUUUGAAAUUUGAAACGCGGAAAUGCCAUUUUCUGCAUUCUGAGCAUCCAAAUUUGCUCUAAAAUUUAUGCUAACUAUACUUGUAUUUGAAAUAAAAGAAGGAAAAAAGGCACAAAAAGUAAAAAAGAAUAUUAACCGUAAUUUAUCAUUAUACCUAUUAGAGGGGGAUACCAAUGGCCGAAGGCCACGUGUGUGGGGGCAUAAUCUCCAGAAAAUUUUUCAAAUUUGAAACCGGGAAAUGCUCUUUCCUGCAUUCUGAGCAUCCAAAAAAGAACAAA